rnacentral:rRNA from 1 species
GGAAUUCCCCUAGUAACUGCGAGUGAAGCGGGAAAAGCUCAAAUUUAAAAUCUGGUAGUCUUUGGCUGCCCGAGUUGUAAUCUAGAGAAGCAUUAUCUGCGUUGGACUGUGUAUAAGUGUCCUGGAAUGGACCAUCAUAGAGGGUGAGAAUCCCGUCUUUGACACAGACUCCCAGUGCUUUGUGAUGUGCUCUCAAAGAGUCGAGUUGUUUGGGAAUGCAGCUCUAAAUGGGUGGUAAAUUCCAUCUAAAGCUAAAUAUUGGCGAGAGACCGAUAGCGAACAAGUACCGUGAGGGAAAGAUGAAAAGAACUUUGGAAAGAGAGUUAAACAGUACGUGAAAUUGCUGAAAGGGAAACGCUUGAAGUCAGUCGCGUUGGCUGGGGAUCAACCUYGCUUUUGCUUGGCUUACUUCCCAGUUGACGGGUCAGCAUCAGUUUUGACCAGUGGAUAAAGGCUAGGGGAAUGUGGCACCUCCUGGUGUGUUAUAGCCCUUGGUCAUAUACAUUGGUUGG